AUCCCAUGAUGGGACAUUAUCUAAGUAACUCCUUGAAUAUCUCCUAAGCAUCAAAUAAAGAUUCAUCAUCUCCUUGUCUAAAUGAAGUUAUCUUAUUCCUCAUCUU